GACAGAGGCCACAAGCGUUAGGCGGAAUCACUGGGCUUAAAGCGUGUGUAGGCGGAUCGUUAAGUGCCUUGUGAAAUCCCACCGCUCAACGGUGGAACGGCUGGGCAUACUGGCGGUCUUGAGCUGCCUAGGGGUCGCUGGAACUGACGGUGGAGCGGUGAAAUGCGUAGAUAUCGUCAGGAACGCCAACGGUGAAAACAGGCGACUGGGGGCAAGCUGACGCUGAGACACGAAAGCCAGGGGAGCAAACGGG
rnacentral:rRNA from 1 species